rnacentral:rRNA from 1 species
GACGAACGCUGGCGGCGUGCUUAACACAUGCAAGUCGAACGGAAAGGCCCUGCUUUUGUGGGGUGCUCGAGUGGCGAACGGUUGAGUAACACGUUAGUAACCUGCCCUUGACUUUGGGAUAACUUCAGGAAACUGGGGCUAAUACCGGAUAGGAGCUCCUGCUGCAUGGUGGGGGUUGGAAAGUUUCGGCGGUUGGGGAUGGACUCGCGGCUUAUCAGCUUGUUGGUGGGGUAGUGGCUUACCAAGGCUUUGACGGGUAGCCGGCCUGAGAGGGUGACCGGCCACAUUGGGACUGAGAUACGGCCCAGACUCCUACGGGAGGCAGCAGUGGGGAAUAUUGCACAAUGGGCGGAAGCCUGAUGCAGCAACGCCGCGUGCGGGAUGACGGCCUUCGGGUUGUAAACCGCUUUCGCCUGUGACGAAGCGUGAGUGACGGUAAUGGGUAAAGAAGCACCGGCUAACUACGUG